rnacentral:rRNA from 1 species
AUUUAAAUAAAUUAUGGUAGUAAAAUUAAUUUAAACCAAUAUUCCAAUGGCGGCAUUUCAUCUUAUUAGAGGAACAUGUUAUUUAAUCGACAAUACACGAUCAAUUUUACUUAUUUUAAAAUUUUAUAUACCACCAUCUUAAAUUUUCUUUCUAUUUCAAAAAAAAAUUCUUAAAAGUUAGGUAAAGGUGUAGAAUAUAAAUAAGGCUUAAAUGUGUUACAUUAAAUAACAAUUUAAGGACAUUAUCUUCAAACUUUAUUAAAAAAGGAUUUAAAAGUAAUAUUUUUAUAAUAUUAAAAUUUGAAUAAGAAAAUAAAUGUGC